rnacentral:rRNA from 1 species
UACAGAGGUCCCAAGCGUUGUUCGGAUUCAUUGGGCGUAAAGGGUGCGUAGGUGGCGCCGUAAGUCGGGGUGUGAAAUUUCGGAGCUUAACUCCGAAACUGCAUUCGAUACUGCGGUGCUUUGAGGACUGGAGAGGAGACUGGAAUUCAUGGUGUAGCAGUGAAAUGCGUAGAGAUCAUGAGGAAGACCAGUGGCGAAGGCGGGUCUCUGGACAGUUCCUGACACUGAGGCACGAAGGCCAGGGGAGCAAACGGGG